AACACCGACGGAUUUUUCGUCGGAAAUUUGAAUCUUCUAAAAAGGGGCCAAAGCCCAAAUUGUAUUAGAGUUAGGUUAUAAUGAAUCUGAAAUGGACAGAAGUGUUUUCCCAAUUCCCGCUUGCUUCUUCCAUCUGAAAUCCCAAUCCCGCUCCCGAUUUCCCCCAAAUCUGAAAUCCCACUCGGUUAUUGCUUCCCUACCGAUUAUCGAACACGAAGACGAGUUGGAACACGAAGACGAGUUGGAACUGACUUACUGCUUCCCUACCGAUUAUCGAACACGAACUCUUGACUGCUUCCAUUUGCUUCUAGAUCGAACACAGGUUGAUGAGACGAGUGUCGGGAUUGAAGCGUUCUUUGUUGACUCUGAUUUGAAGAAGAACAGUGGAUGGUGAGCUGGUGGCUCAAUCCUAUCUGCACACUUGGAUGAUAUACUCUCGAAGUUGAUGACGUCCACUGGUUCAUAUGAGGAUCUCUUCAGAAAGGAGAUAACAAAAUAUAAUCACAUAUGCGAAGAAAUAUCUCAAAAUCUUCAGGCUCAACAGCAACUAUUGCUACACAUUCAGUUAAUUAACAACUUACAAUCCUAAAUUCAAGAAAUGCGUACUCGAGAUGAGAUCCGAUAGAAGGAGAUUGAGGAACUUCUUCGCCGAAAUGAGAUCCGACAGGAGGUUGAGGAACUUCUUCGCCGAGAAGAGAUCCGAAACAGGGAAGAUGAGAUCCGGAAGAAAGAGCAUGCAAACACGAUGGAUAUGAUGAAGAGGUUUACACAAUCUCAACAGUUUCCGCCUACCCCGCCGCAAUAGAUUUAAUAUAGUGUAUUUAUGAACUAGCGUCAUCAAUCGAAUUUAUAUAUGUAUAUUAUUUCGUCCGGAUAAUCAUAUUAGGUAUUUAUGACAUAUUUAUGUAUUGUAUAUUUGUAUUUAAUUACAUGAUCUUUAUAUUUU